CCCCUUCCAUAACCACAGAACCAGGGGGGAUAUGUUGUGUUCAUCGUGUGCUUAUCAUAGAUCAGAGACAAGUUAUUACACAAUAAGCCUUGUUCUGUGGACAAGUUUCAGUAAGGACAAGUGCUUGUCUCUGCUUUCAGUCUUUAUCUAUGUCUCACCGAAAGAUCAGUGCCUCUCGUCACAGUUUCAUGGACUUCUACCCCCAAAAAAGGCCCAAGAGGCAUCGUGGUAGGUCAAGGCGUUCCCUAAGGAUGGCCCAUCAAAACCCGUGCAUACAAUACAAAGUUGGUAUGACCCACGUGGUUCCUGAAGCUGAUCGUCUAGGUUCAAAUUAAACUGCUCAAGCAAAGGCAAAAGAACGCUCAGAUUAUGCAAUUAAUGGCGGUGCCAUUGCUGAAAAAGUUGCAUGGGCUGAAGAACAUCUGGAAGAGCCCUUCCCUGUCAAACAAGUAUUUGGCCAAGACAAAAUUAUUAUCGGAAUUACCAAGGGCAAAGGUGUUACCUCAAGAUAGCAUACGAAGAAAUUGCCCCGUAAGACUCACAAAGGUCUAAGGGAAACUUGCCUGUAUUGGAGCAUGGCAUCCUUCCAGAGUGUCAACGGCAAAGUUAUCAAGAACAACGCUUCUACUGAACACGAUCUUUCAGAGAAGAUCAUUAUCCCCAUAGGAGAAUUCCCCCAUUAUGGUGAAGUUAACAAUGACCACAUCAUGAUUAAGGGUUGUUGCAUGGGGCCUAAGAAACCUGUUCAUCACUUUGAGAAAGUCGCUCCUUGUGCACUCCAGUGUGUUGCUCUGGAGAAGAUCAAUAUUAAGUUCAUCGAUACACCCUCCAAAUUCGGUCAUGGUCGGUUCCAGACUCCUGCCGAUAAGGCUGCCUUUACGCGUCCUGUUAAAAAGGACAGGUUGGAGGAGUAGGCCAAAUCGGCUCCUGUAGCAGUCGCCAAAGAAUUUAAGAUUCUUUCAAAUAAAUGACUACACAAAAAUGAA
rnacentral:misc_RNA from 1 species